GACGAACGCUGGCGGCGUGCUUAACACAUGCAAGUCGAACGGAAAGGCCUCUUUCGGGGGGUACUCGAGUGGCGAACGGGUGAGUAACACGUGAGUAACCUGCCCUUGACUUUGGGAUAACUUCAGGAAACUGGGGCUAAUACCGGAUAGGAGCUCCUGCUGCAUGGUGGGGGUUGGAAAGUUUCGGCGGUUGGGGAUGGACUCGCGGCUUAUCAGCUUGUUGGUGGGGUAGUGGCUUACCAAGGCUUUGACGGGUAGCCGGCCUGAGAGGGUGACCGGCCACAUUGGGACUGAGAUACGGCCCAGACUCCUACGGGAGGCAGCAGUGGGGAAUAUUGCACAAUGGGUGGAAGCCCGAUGCAGCAACGCCGUGUGCGGGAUGACGGCCUUCGGGUUGUAAACCGCUUUCGCUCAUGACGAAGCUUUGUGUGACGGUAGUGGGUAAAGAAGCUCCGGCUAACUACGUG
rnacentral:rRNA from 1 species